rnacentral:rRNA from 1 species
CUACGGGUUGCUGCAGUGGGGAAUAUUGCACAAUGAGCGAAAGCUUGAUGCAGCCAUACCGCGUGUGUGAAGAAGGCCCGAGGGUUGUAAAGCACUUUCAAUUGGGAGGAAGGUUAAGUAGUUAAUACCUGCUUAAUUUGACGUUACCUUUAGAAGAAGCACCGGCUAACUCUGUGCCAGCAGCCGCGGUAAUACAGAGGGUGCAAGCGUUAUUCGGAAUUACUGGGCGUAAAGCGCGCGUAGGCGGAUUAUUAAGUCAGUUGUGAAAGCCCUGGGCUCAACCUGGGAACUGCAUCUGAUACUGGUAGUCUAGAGUUUAAGAGAGGGAAGUGGAAUUCCAGGUGUAGCAGUGAAAUGCGUAGAUAUCUGGAGGAGCAUCAGUGGCGAAGGCGACUUCCUGGCUUAAAACUGACGCUGAGGUGCGAAAGCGUGGGUAGCGAACGGGAUUAGAUACCCCUGUAGUC